AUGCCUCAAAUAGCACCUCUUUUAUGAUUAAAUCUAUUUUUUAUAUUUCUUAUUGGAUUUCUUUUAUUUUUUAUUCUAAACUAUUUUAUAAAAUCUCCACUUAAAAUGUCCCCUUCAAUUGAACUAAAAGCUCAACACCAAAAAACCUGAAAAUGAUAA
rnacentral:misc_RNA from 1 species